rnacentral:rRNA from 1 species
ACCCGCACAAGCGGUGGAUGAUGUUGGAUUAAUUCGAUGCAACGCGAAGAACCUUACCUACCCUUGACAUGUCCGGAACUUGCCAGAGAUGGCUUGGUGCCCGAAAGGGAAUCGGAACACAGGUGCUGCAUGGCUGUCGUCAGCUCGUGUCGUGAGAUGUUGGGUUAAGUCCCGCAACGAGCGCAACCCUUAUCAUUAGUUGCUACGCAAGGGCACUCUAAUGAGACUGCCGGUGACAAACCGGAGGAAGGUGGGGAUGACGUCAAGUCCUCAUGGCCCUUAUGGGUAGGGCUUCACACGUCAUACAAUGGUCGGUACAGAGGGUUGCCAAGCCGCGAGGCGGAGCCAAUCCCACAAAGCCGAUCGUAGUCCGGAUUGUUCUCUGCAACUCGAGAGCAUGAAGUCGGAAUCGCUAGUAAUCGCAGGUCAGCAUACUGCGGUGAAUACGUUCCCGGGUCUU